UGGCGACUAGCGCCCAGCCUCUGCCUCCUCGGCCUGACGGGGCUUCCCGGUCAGAGGCUGACUCUGUGCUUAAGAAUCUAAAUUGCUGCUCAUAUGGCAAUGCUGCAUACUUCAGAGAAGAGAACUUUUGUACUGAUAGCAAGGACAUGGUCAAACAAAGCGCCACACUUGGUCAUUACAAGCCACAGGUAAAUAGCAAGAAACAGAAAAUGGACACUCAAUUAUUCUCCCCGUUAUUAGGAACAAUUACUAAUACGCCACCUCCACUAGAAUCUUCACGUCUAUAUAGUGACUGGGCUGCAUGUGGAGAUGAUAUCAGCGCAAAAACUUCUUUUCAAGACUGCACAAAAAAAAGCCUUCCCUUGGUCGUCUUGUGGAGGUCCUCCAUGAUAGAUCUUUGA
ensembl:lncRNA